rnacentral:rRNA from 1 species
UAAUGCCGGAUGCUCCAGUUGGAUGCAUGUCCUUCUGGGAAAGAUUCAUCGGUAUGGGAUGGGGUCGCGUCCUAUCAGCUUGAUGGCGGGGUAACGGCCCACCAUGGCUUCGACGGGUAGCCGGCCUGAGAGGGCGACCGGCCACAUUGGGACUGAGAUACGGCCCAGACUCCUACGGGAGGCAGCAGUGGGGAAUAUUGCACAAUGGGCGCAAGCCUGAUGCAGCGACGCCGCGUGCGGGAUGACGGCCUUCGGGUUGUAAACCGCUUUUGACUGGGAGCAAGCCCUUCGGGGUGAGUGUACCUUUCGAAUAAGCACCGGCUAACUACGUGCCAGCAGCCGCGGUAAUACGUAGGGUGCAAGCGUUAUCCGGAAUUAUUGGGCGUAAAGGGCUCGUAGGCGGUUCGUCGCGUCCGGUGUGAAAGUCCAUCGCUUAACGGUGGAUCCGCGCCGGGUACGGGCGGGCUUGAGUGCGGUAGGGGAGACUGGAAUUCCCGGUGUAACGGCGGAAUG